GAUGAACGCUGGCGGCGUGCCUAAUACAUGCAAGUCGAGCGAACAGACGAGGAGCUUGCUCCUCUGACGUUAGCGGCGGACGGGUGAGUAAAACGUGGAUAACCUACCUAUAAGACUGGGAUAACUUCGGGAAACCGGAGCUAAUACCGGAUAAUAUAUUGAACCGCAUGGUUCAAUAGUGAAAGACGGUUUUGCUGUCACUUAUAGAUGGAUCCGCGCCGCAUUAGCUAGUUGGUAAGGUAACGGCUUACCAAGGCAACGAUGCGUAGCCGACCUGAGAGGGUGAUCGGCCACACUGGAACUGAGACACGGUCCAGACCCCUACGGGAGGCAGCAGUAGGGAAUCUUCCGCAAUGGGCGAAAGCUUGACGGAGCAACGCCGCGUGAGUGAUGAAGGUCUUCGGAUCGUAAAACUCUGUUAUUAGGGAAGAACAAAUGUGUAAGUAACUAUGCACGUCUUGACGGUACCUAAUCAGAAAGCCACGGCUAACUACGUG
rnacentral:rRNA from 1 species